GAUCAACAGCCUCAGCUGGCAGAGCACUAGACUCUUAAUCUCAAGGCUGUAGGUUCAAGCCCCAUGUCGGGCA